rnacentral:rRNA from 1 species
ACUGCCUGAUGGAGGGGGAUAACUACUGGAAACGGUAGCUAAUACCGCAUAACGUCUACGGACCAAAGUGGGGGACCUUCGGGCCUCAUGCCAUCAGAUGUGCCCAGAUGGGAUUAGCUAGUAGGUGGGGUAACGGCUCACCUAGGCGACGAUCCCUAGCUGGUCUGAGAGGAUGACCAGCCACACUGGAACUGAGACACGGUCCAGACUCCUACGGGAGGCAGCAGUGGGGAAUAUUGCACAAUGGGCGCAAGCCUGAUGCAGCCAUGCCGCGUGUAUGAAGAAGGCCUUCGGGUUGUAAAGUACUUUCAGCGGGGAGGAAGGCGUUGUGGUUAAUAACCACAGCGAUUGACGUUACCCGCAGAAGGAGCACCGGCUAACUCCGUGCCAGCAGCCGCGGUAAUACGGAGGGUGCAAGCGUUAAUCGGAAUUACUGGGCGUAAAGCGCACGCAGGCGGUUUGUUAAGUCAGAUGUGAAAUCCCCGGGCUCAACCUGGGAACUGCAUUUGAAACUGGCAGGCUUGAGUCUCGUAGAGGGGGGUAGAAUUCCAGGUGUAGCGGUGAAAUGCGUAGAGAUCUGGAGGAAUACCGGUGGCGAAG